rnacentral:rRNA from 1 species
CGGACGGGUGAGUAACGCGUGGGCAACCUGCCUUACACAGGGGGAUAACACUUAGAAAUAGGUGCUAAUACCGCAUAAGCGCACAGCUUCGCAUGAAGCGGUGUGAAAAACUCUGGUGGUAUACGAUGGUUCCGCGUCUGAUUAGCUAGUUGGUGGGGUAAUGGCCUACCAAGGCAACGAUCAGUAGCCGGCCUGAGAGGGUGAACGGCCACAUUGGGACUGAGACACGGCCCAAACUCCUACGGAAGGCAGCAG